rnacentral:RNase_P_RNA from 1 species
UGAGUCGGCUAGGUGGCUGCGGUGCUCCAUUUAUUGGAGGCUGAGGAAGGUCGGGGCUCCAUAGGGCAGAGUGCUGGCUAACGGCCAGUCAGGGUGACCUGCAGGACAGUGCCACAGAAAGGAAACCGCCGAUGGCUUUUAGCACAGGUAAGGGUGAAAGGGUGCGGCAAGAGCGCACCAGCAUCAAAGGUGACUUUGAUGGCUUGGUAAACCCCACUCGGAGCAAGGCAAAAUUUGAGGUGGGCUGCCCGCCUAAUACUUCAUGGUAUGCCGCUUAGAUGGAUAGCCACCCAAAGAAAAUCCACAUUUUCUUGGACAGAACCCCGCCUACAGGCCGACUCACUUU